CAUGCCUUGAGUGUAGGACUGUUGGAAUCUUAAUUACCCUCCCACACCCAAGGCUUGCA
ensembl:miRNA ocu-mir-532 ocu-mir-532